CCAGUUGAUGAUGAAGAUCUAAUCUCCUAUAUCAUCGCUGGGCUUGAUGAUACCUAUGAACCUGUCAUCUCCUCCAUCGUCGGCAAAACAGAACCAAUGACGCUUGGUGAAGCCUACUUGCAGCUGCUCAGUUUUGAGC
rnacentral:snoRNA from 1 species